rnacentral:rRNA from 1 species
AGGACGAACGCUGGCGGCGUGCCUAACACAUGCAAGUCGAACGGGACCAGGGGCAACUCUGGUUCAGUGGCGGACGGGUGCGUAACACGUGAGGAACAUGACCUUCGGCGGGGGAUAGCCGGCCCAACGGCCGGGUAAUACCGCGUACGACCACUUGGGGACAUCCCUGGGUGGUGAAAGCAGCAAUGCGCCGAUGGAGUGCCUCGCGGCCUAUCAGCUAGUUGGUGAGGUAACGGCUCACCAAGGCGACGACGGGU